UACGAAGGGGGCUAGCGUUGCUCGGAAUCACUGGGCGUAAAGGGUGCGUAGGCGGGUCUUUAAGUCAGGGGUGAAAUCCUGGAGCUCAACUCCAGAACUGCCUUUGAUACUGAAGAUCUUGAGUUCGGGAGAGGUGAAUGGAACUGCGAGUGUAGAGGUGAAAUUCGUAGAUAUUCGCAAGAACACCAGUGGCGAAGGCGGCUCACUGGCCCGAUACUGACGCUGAGGCACGAAAGCGUGGGGAGCGAACAGG
rnacentral:rRNA from 1 species